rnacentral:pre_miRNA from 1 species
UAUUCACAUUAUUCCAGUGUCGAUCAAGUACUAGACUAAAAUUAGUACUAGAACGGGGCUGGGUCGAUGUGGGUG